AUUGGCUGAGCCUUUCAGGGAGCUCUGUUGAGUUUUAGCAGCGGCAAGCCUGCGCUGCGAGGAGGAGGACGGCAGCGAAGAGGAAGAAUCUGGAUAUAAGAAAGUAUUUUUCAGAGAAACCUGAUCUAAAGAGAUAAGAGUUCAGCUUACUGGUGUGGCCCUCCCAGUUUCUCAUGUGCCCACCCCUGCUCAGAAGCGCCCUAAGGGGGAGAAAAGUGAUGAAUCUAAGGUCCCAUGACUGACAGGGACAGAAAGUAUUAACAUGUCACCAUCAACGUUUGCUUCACAAGGUGCACGUGCUCCAAGGUGAUGCUGAGAGCUGAUGUUUCACAAAAGAAAGACAGACAGAUGGAAAUGAAACUUAUACCAAAGUCCACAUGAGAGAAACUGCUUGACUUUUUUAAUAUUAGUUAGUUUACUUCAGUUCUAACAGAAAAUAAUGUGUUUCUGUUAUUUUAGCCAACAUGCACCUGCCUGCACCAAUUACAAAUGUGAAAUGUAAUACAUAUAUGUAUUACAUCACUUAUGUGCCAACGUGCUUCCAUGGUAUGAUUCAAUUCAAUUCAAUUUUAUUUAUAUAGCGCCAAAUCACAACAAAAGUCGCCUCAAGGCGCUUCAUAGAUACAGAGAAAAACCCAACAAUCAUAUGACCCCCUAUGAGCAGCACUUUGGUGACAGUGGGAAGGAAAAACUCCCUUUUAACAGGAAGAAACCUCCAGCAGAACCAGGCUCAGGGAGGGGCGGGGCCAUCUGCUGUGAUUGGUUGGGGUGAGAGAAGGAAGACAGGAUAAAGACAUGCUGUGGAAGAGAGACAGAGAUUAAUAACAG
ensembl:lncRNA